rnacentral:misc_RNA from 1 species
AAGUCGUAACAAGGUUUCCGUAGGUGAACCUGCGGAAGGAUCAUUAUUACGUAUCCAACGUAUCAAAACCAAAUAGUGAACAAGUGUCCCAUCUGGUGAGGGUAUCUGCGAGAUGUUUUCGUGAUCGCAUAGUGGAACAGGCCUUUUUCCGCAAGGAAGAAGACUUGUGCGAGAACUCUCGGUCCUAGAUUCGAAGCCUUUGCGGGUUUUGAAUCUAGCUCAUUGGAUGUGGUUUUCCAAAUCUACUGUGCAAAACUAUUAUUAACCCCUUGUAAAUUGAACUGAACUGAUUAUACACAUUGGACCUCUCACGAGGAAAGAUGUGGACAACCGAAACUUAAGAACAACUCUUAACAACGGAUAUCUUGGUUCUC